CGAGCUCUAUAGUAUGUGCGAUAAGAUAUGUGCAUCAUGACUCUUGUGCUUGGAGCAUUAUUGUGUGCACACACACAAUUACACAAUCUUUGCACAAUUCGAACUUCACAAUUGCUCAGUCAUCAAUGGUAUUUGUUUGCUGCAUGCAUGGCCCGAAAUACUUGUUGAGAUCUUCUCUUGAUUCCGCACCGGAUCAUAUCAGCAUAAUAGCCAUUGUUGCUCGCUUAGUUAGCAUAGAGCCCUUUGAUGUGAAAGUAUCUGUCAAAAUGGCCAAUACUACUAGUUGUAUCAGGAGAUGUACAGAGUUUUUACUUGAAUUAUUUAGUAGUGAGCUCUCCCGCAACUGCCA